GGAGUGGGAUGGGUCUAACAGGAGGCAGGAGGAAUGACAGGGAGCAGCAGGUCUGGGUGGGCAUGUGAUGAGAGAGCUCUGACCACACCUUUCUGUGUCUGCUCAGGAACAACAAGAAGGAAGACAGCUCUGGUUGCAUUGGCAAAGGUAGAAGUUGAAUAUCAAGGAGAGCAUCCCAACUGUGCGCGAGGGCUGGGAAAGCCAGCCAGUGUUAUCUCGGGAAAUGUUACAGAGUCACCUUGAAUACAGCAGAGCUGGUAUUCAAACCCUGGCUUCAGAGUCCAUGCUCCUAACCACGAUGGAAGGACCAUUGAGUCAACAAGGCCAUUCAGAGGAGGCUUCUUGGAAGAGAUGUUGAUCCCCAGAGUCCCUCCCUAUCAACCUCCUGCGUGAUCCUCUCCGUCUCAGAGUCAAUGUCCAGGGGAAUUGGACCUUCAUACAGGAAAUCACUGAAGAUCAAGUCUGAUCCAAGUAUUGAGUUAGGAUUCUAGGUGGACAGUCUUAUCCCCAGUCCUAUAAAAAUGUCACUCUCCUCUCCUCUAGCUUGCAUUGUUUCUGUUGGGAAAUCUACACUUAUCCUUGUCUUUGUUUCCCUGUAUGUAAUGUCUGUUACUCUUCUGGCCACAUUUAAGAUUUUCUCUUUAUCACUGUUUUUAGAGCUAUUUGAUUAUAAUGUGACCUGCCACAGUUUUUGUUUUGUUUUCAUGUUUCUUGUGCUUGGGGUUUGUAUCUGUGAAUUUAUAGUUUUCAUCAGGUUUGGGAAAAUUUCAGCCAUUAUUUUCUCAAAUAUUUUUUCUGCCUUCUCUUUUUUCCCAGAGACUCCAAUUAGCCUGUUUAUGAGGCCACUUGAGUUUUCCAUAGCUCACUGAUGCUUGGUUAAUUUUCCCCCAGUCUUUUUUUCUCACUCUGUUUUGUGUGUGUGUGUGUGUGUGUUUAAGAUUUUAUUUUUAAGUAAUCCCUACACCCAACAUGGGGCUCGAACUUACAACCCUGAGAUCAAGAGUCACAUGCUCUACCAACUGAGCCAGCCAGGCACCCCUGUUUUGCAUAGUUUCUGCUGCUGUGUAUUCAAGUUCAUUAAUCUUACCUUUUGCAGGUGGUAUUAAUCCCAUUGGAUGUAUUUUUCAUUCUAGUAUACAUCUCUAGAAAUUCAAUCUGGGUCUUUACAAAAUCUUUCACGUUCAAUUUUCCUUCUAAUUUCUUAAGCAUAUGGAAUAGUUAUAAUAACUAUUUUAAUGUACUUGCCUAUGAAUUUUAUUAUCUGAAUGAUUUCUGGACCAGUUUCAGUUGCUUUUUCUUUUCACUCUUGUUUUUCACUAAUUUUUUAUUGGAUGCCAAAUAGUGUGAGUUUUACU